rnacentral:lncRNA from 1 species
AUUUAUUAGUGUUGCGCCAUUAUUUUUACAUAAUAUAACCAUAUACAAUUUCAGUAUCACAUGUCUUAGAGUGAUGGACUGUGCCUGUGGCCUCCGCAAUGGAUUAGUCCACUGAGACAGGCGCGAAUCAGAACGUUGUCUUGUGCACCAUGAUUUAUUUUUUUAUUGUGACUGCUCGAUUUAAGAAAUCUCAGUCGACCAACAGCCUAUCAACCAAACAAUCGACCAGUUGACUAAAUGGGUCAGCCCUACUGAAGACCGAUAUUCUGAUGUUUUUCAGCACAAUGUGAGUUUUUAUUAGUCAGUAUAACAAUGUAACGUUAUUGAUCUGUCAGUUUCCCUAGUUAAUUCCCUACUUUUCACACUGACACGGUAUAAACAGCUCUACAGGCUUCACUGUCAUGGUGCACUGUCAGUAGACACCGCUAUGCUUAUCAUGUCAAAUCAAAUCAAAUUUAUUUGUCACAUACACAUGGUUAGCAGGUGUUAAUGCAAGUGUAGCGAAAUGCUUGUGCUUCUAGUUCCGACCAUGCAGUAAUAUCUAACAAGUAAUCUACCAAUUCCACAACAACCCCUUUGUACACACAAGUGUAAAGGAAUGAAUACGAAUAUGUACAUAAAAAUAUAUAAAUGAGUGAUGGCCGAACGGCAUAGGCAGGAUGCAGUAGAUGGUAUAGAGUACAGUAUAUACAUAUGAGAUGAGUAUUGUAGGGUAUGAAAACAUAUAAAGCAGCAUUGUUUAAGGAGGCUAGUGAUACAUUACAUCAGGAUGGCAAGAUGCAGUAGAUGGUAUAGAGUACAGUAUAUACAUAUGAGAUGAGUAAUGUAGGUUAGUAGCAUCAGAUGGCAGACCAGUCUACGGAGCUCAGGUGAAUUUUGCAGUAUAUUAUAACAAUCAGUGAAUGAUACAAAGGUCCAUCUUGAGGUGAUGGGUAGGUUACAGUCUGGGAGAUCCCAGUCAUUUCAAUUAUUGAACCAUUGAUUCUAUUCUUGGUUAAUACGUAUAAAUGUACACCAAGGUAAUUCUUUGUCAUGCCUCAUCUAAGCAGGAUCAGAUGGUGUCAUGGGUCUCAUCAGGGCCAGACACCCAGGGAAGGCCAGUCAGCGAUGGCGCAGAGGUUCACUUUUGCAGAUACAGAACUUUAUUAUCUCUGUGCAGCAAUGACUGGUAAAGCAAGAAGCUUCAAAUAUUGAAACUAUUUUAAGGCAGUCUGACAAACCUCUAAAGUUGAUUUCCAAACUGUAUCACGGGUUGAUAGAGGCUUUUCCCGAUUACACAAAACAUGUAAAACAAAAAUGUGAAGAAGACCUAAGAGACACUACUGAUGAUGAUGAAUGCAUACAGAUAUGUUGAAUACCCAGUCAUGUUCUUUUAAUCUGAGACAUAAUGACUGCAGUUUAAGACCAUCCAUAGAACGUUCUAUAUGCCAAUGAAACUGAAUAUCACGCACUCAGAAAUAUAAUUAUUCUGCUCAAGGUGUAAAGCACAAAAAGGGACAUAUUUGCAUAUGUUAUGGUAUUGUGAAGGCUGGCUGAAUUCUGGCAAAGAGUAUGUUAUUUCAGCUCAGCAUUUCUACAGAUUCUCCCUUCUCCCUGUUUGGAAAUGUUGAUACUGGAGAUUGUUGUCCGAAGAACAUUUAUAGCGGCUAAGAAAUGCAUUGCCAUUAAUUCGAAGAUUGGUUAUCCUCCCAGAAUGGACGGAAUGAAUGUUAUAUAACACUAGAUUUGAUUUAUUACCAGAUUAAGGGUAUACUGUGCAACUUUCAUAAAGUCUGGAUGCCUUAUAUGGAAUACUGUACGACAAAAGGAGUCUGUAUUGAAAACAUGCCCAAAUCAGGGGAGAUAUUUAUUUAGGCAAUCCCUAGCUUCUGGGCUGCUCAGUCUUGGCCAUUGGGGUCUGCUGUACUGUUGGUUGUCACUCUGGCCCUGCCCUAACACACCUGAAACCAAUAAUGAAUGUUUCACUAAGAUCCUAAAGCUGACUGGGGUGUGUUGGGUUGGGGCACUGCAGGGCCGUGGACCCCUAGGAGCCGGGAGGGGUGACCCAGCUAUAUUGUGUGCAGGUAAAAAGAGCUUUCCAGUACUAUUAGACCUAUGAUAUGAAUUAUAUGGAGGGUGUACUGUUUUGGUGUGUUAAUAUGUAGGUGUAUGUGUGUUUUUAUUUAACUUGUGUUUUCCAAACCUUUCCCUUGAGACAUAAAAACAAGAACAAAAAAGAUGGGAAGAAGUUGUGCUGGGCAGAGAGUUGAGAUAUUGACUAGACUGGUGGGGGUCAGGUGUGCAGACGGCUCGGGCUGCCUGGGCGGUUCGGCUGAAAUUUGAUAAAGAGUAUGUCUUAAUAAAGACAAUCAAAAGUCUUUGCACUUUAUUUGUAAGAGUUGUUAGGCUAUUGGCUAAAGGUGCAACACAAUAUUUAUUAUUGAAUUAUCAUUGAUCUUGUUCAGUCUUGUCAAUAACUUAAACAUAUUUAAUAAUGAUCUCUUUCCUAGCUUGGUGACUGUGGGCCUUUUUGCUUACUUUUCGUUGUUCUAAAUAGAGACGGCAACAAGAGGGGUCAUAUUAGAUUGUGUAGAAAUGCAUGAAAUAAGCUUAGAUGCCCCCAGAAAUGGGGGGACCCCCAGACCUCCUGCCAAGUUAUGUCCUCCCCAUGUAUAAAAUCAAAGUUGCGCCCCUGCUCAAUAUUUUAUCUAUGUGAAUAAUGCCAAUACUGUUUUUAUGAACAAGUUAAUCUUAGUACAAAUCAGUUGAAUUAAUUCAGGCCAUAAUGACACUGUCACGUCCUGACCAAUAUAAGUUGUUAUUUUCUAUGGUAGAGUGGUCAGGUCGUGACAGACGCUGAAUACCAACGUUGUGAUACUGUGUUCCAUGAUGAUGCAGAAUGUGCAUGAUAAACUUUGAUGCUUUGUAUAUUUUUUGGGUUGCUUGUUUGUUUUUUAUUUUUGCUUUGCUUUAGUUUUGAAGAGACUAGGAGCUCUAUUCAAUCCGUAUCGCAGAAGUUCAGCAUUGCAGUAUGAUUGAAAUUUAAAGGCAAUGUUCGCGCGUUAGCAUUCACGGUAUUCACUGCGUAUGUCGGCUCAAUCGUAAAUUACUUUUAUAUUUAUAUCAUGCAAUCUGAUUUAUGAACUGAUACACAAAACGACGCUGGAUUCAAAACAUACCGUUUUUCAUUUUAAAUUAUUAUACAAAAUUCUUGCAACUAAUAGAAUGUUUUAUAUAUGGGGGAUACAACCAUCCCAGCUCUGCAGGUUUUGCUGCGAAGAGACAGAAUCAUUAGUUCAUUUGUUUUGGUAGUGUCUAUAUGUAGCAUGUUUUUGGUCGCAGGUUCAGGAAUGGCUGAAGAAUUGCAACAUUUACCUGGAGCCAACUCUGCAAAUAGCACUGCUGGGUGAUUUGAAAAGUCAUAGUCAAUCAAUCAAUAGUAUAAUAAUACUCUUAGCAAAACAAUGUAUCUUUAAUUUACAAUCUGUAGAAACUAUGAGAAUAGAAAGGUUCAGAACUUUUGUGAAACAUCACAGCACUGUUGAAAAAUGUGGUGUUCAGAGAUAGAUGGAAGGGGUUGAGUGAGGCUGAAGUGUGGGACUUAAAAUAACAAGACAACUAAUGCUAAAUAUACUGUGUCCGUAAAAUGUAUAUAGGUUCAAAACCUUUGUGAAACAGCACAAUUGAAAAAUAUAGAAAUCAAUACUGGAUGGUUUUCAGAGAUCGAUGGGAGGGGUUGAGGGUAGCUGAAGGAUGGGACUAAAAACAAACAAAAGAUAGCUAUUGUAAAAUAUACUGUGUCCGUAAAAUGUAUAUAGUAUAUAUAAGCUGUAAGUAGAAGCCUAAGUGUUGUUGUCCAUUUGUUUACUCCAAUUAGGGGAGGGGUGGUUAGGGUUAGGGGAAAAUAAUAAAGACAUAAAAAAAUUACUUCAGCGAUACAGAUUCAACAGAGUCCUAGCUUGAUUUCUGAAGAACUUGUGAAAACUACCGCUGAAGAUAUCGAUGAUGUUGACAAAGAUUAUAUGAUGAUGAAUAUCAUGAUGAUAAUGUUGGUGAGAGGAAGAUGCUUCUUAUUAGGCAUGUAUGCAUGUGGAUGAAAAUGGAGAAGGAGUGUAGUGGUCAAGCUACAAGAUGUGUGCUUUUGUAAUUAAGCGAAAUACAUUGUAUUUAUUGCUAUGUUUUACAUAUAAAAUCAAUGAAAAACAUGAUUUUGAAGGGUUGUCGAUGUAAAAGUUUAGAUGUUAAUAAAAGCCUUUAUUUUUAAUAA